UGAACACCAGCACAACCUGGGUGGCAGAAGCCCUGUAGGGGCUCUGGCAACACAGUCGGGAAACACUGCUGAUCAGCUCUUCAAGACCUUUCCCACCCCUUCUACCUGGCUACCUCCCACUACAGACGCUGAACAUCCACACAUUGGCUUUCCCAGGCUCUCCUGUGACUGGAAAGGGUGAUGGAACAAGAUGUGAAUGAAGUCAGCCUCAGGAAGGAACGGCCUCUGUGAGACAAGAUCUCAUCAUGUUGCCGAGCUGGUCUUGAACUCCUGAGCUCAAGUGAUCCUUCUGCCUUGGCCUCCUAGUGUUGGGAUUACAGGCUUAAGCCACUGCGCCCAGCGCAGUGUCCCUUUCUCAACGUUGAUGGGAAGGCAUCUUCGCACAUGAGUAUUUGACAGCUGCCUUCAGAAUGUGCUGACCCAUCUUGGUGCAAUUCCUUGCUGAACCCAAGUUCUUCCUCCCUGAUAAACAUCUGUGUAGCCGUUUCCCUUGCUCCAAGAGAAAAAUCCUUCUUGCAAAGUACAUUUUGCUCAUUAUUAUGAACAUAAGGCUAGAUAUACUUUUUCUUUCAUUUGGAAAAAAGCUAAGUGAGCUUUCUCAAAGCAGGUUUCUGAGAACUAGGGAUACUAUUAGAUGUUAAAUGGAAAAAGUUCCCAUGGUCAAAUACAUUUAUUUGGGAAAAGCUGGAUUGCUCAGGACUCAGUGCUCUGGGAUUCUAAGGGCUGUUAAUCGUCAUUUGGCAAUGCGGUUUCUUAGGGGAGCAGACAGCAUAUGGCCAUCCCCCAGAACCAUCUGGACACAGGCUCUUUGCCUGUAGAGGUGUCCUCAAAGACUUGGGUCUGUGAACACAUUUGGCAGAUACUGGUCUACAUUGUUAUAUAGACACAUGCCCCCUGGACUCUGUGCUAAGGCAGCCACUGGCCUACAAUCAAUUUUAUUUGUAGCUCAAACUACAAUUGUGUGAGCAUGACUUUGUUUUUUGAACUUUGGGAUUGCCACAGUCUGUUUCCAAAUCUUGUGAAGCAAACUGAUGUUGGAGAAAAUAAGCGGCUCAAAAUAGUGUUUACCGAGGCUUCAUUUCUUCCCUAUUGAUAUUAAAAUGGAGGCCAUAAAAAUUAUUAUAACCAAGGGUGUCUGUAAGUUCUGCGGUUAUUUCAGCAUAUAAGAAAGAUAAGUCUAAUGAGAACUACUCAAUUCUGCAUUCAUUUCUCUAGCUUUGAAAAGAAACUGAAAGCACUUCUGAUAAAUGUCUUAAUGAGUUGCCCAGCGUUUCAUUUAUGUGUGCUUUGAAAGGCUCUUGAAUAAUAUCAACUGAAUUUGCAAUUAACUUCUGAAAGUAAAAAGACUGACCCUGAAGGAGCCCAGCAAGGAGAAAGGAGAAACUUUUCCUUCUAGUCCAGCAUGUGAGCUGGGCCACCGGCAUGAGGGCUUUACAGCCCAUGUGCGUUUAUUCCAGGCUCUGAGUGGCCUGGAGAUGAGCAAGUUCACAUCCACCUGCUUCAGCAUUUCUAUUUGUUAAGUGAUAAAUAAAGUGAUGACUGUUACAUGUGCAUGACUGCUAGGCAAUUUGCAUAAACCUUAGAG
rnacentral:lncRNA from 10 species